CAAAAUUUCAUAAAAAUCCCCAAAAUAUCACAAAAAUACAUAAAAAUUCACCAAAAUUCUCAAAAAUUCCCAAAAAUUCCUGAAAAUUCCCAAAAAUCCCCCAAAUCCCCCAAAAUCCCCCAAAAUCCCCCAAAAUUCCCACUCACCUUUACAGUAGGUGCUGAUGCUGGCCUCGAGGGGCGUGGCCAGGUGGACCUCGGGUUCCUCCAGGUGGGAUUGGUUGGGGUCGCUCAGGAGGGAGAUGGAGAAAUUUGGGGGGUCCUGGGUCCUGUCGGGGCAGCCUGGGGGGAGGGGGACAGGUGGGGACAGGUGAGCCCGAAAAAGCGAAAAAAAUCCCGGUGGAAAUGGAGCCAAGAUGGCCGAAAAGCUGAUCCAAGAUGGCCGAAAUGGGAGCUGAGAUGGCCGAUUCAAAAUGGCUGAAAUUGGGAGCCAAGAUGGCGGAAAUUGGAUCCAAAAUGGCUGAUCCAAGAUGGCUGAAAUGGAGCCAAAAUUCCGAUUCAAAAUGGC
rnacentral:lncRNA from 1 species